UGUUACACAUUAACGCAGGAGUCCUAAGGCAAGCUCAGCGGGAACAGAAAUCUCGCGUAGAGCAUAAGGGUAAAAGCUUGCUCGAUACACGAUCUUCAGUACCGAUCCUCGGUGUGAAAGCAUGGCCUAACGAUCCUUUGGUCUCGCUUCAUGUUCAAGGGAUGAAGCCGGAGGUGACAGAAAAAUUACCACAGGGAUAACUGGCUUGUGGCAGCCAAGCGUUCAUAGCGACGUUGCUUUUUGAUCCUUCGAUGUCGGCUCUUCCUAACCUAGACAAGCAGAAUUGUCUAAGGGUUGGAUUGUUCACCCACUAACAGGGAACGUGAGCUGGGUUUAGACCGUCGUGAGACAGGUUGGUUUUACCCUACUGAUGGAGAGAGAGCCCAUCGGGCCAGCGCAUUCCGACAGCAAUACGGGGUAGUACGAGAGGAACUCCCGUUUCUAGUCCCUGGUAUCUACGGUUGUUCGAUCGGACAGUGCCGUGAUGCUACCACUGGAUGGAUUAUGGCUGAACGCCUCUAAGCCAGAACCCAGUCUAGAGGAAUGCGUGAGUUACUCAGGGCACAUCGGAUUUAUCGGGCCACGAAUAGCUUCGGCGAACGGCAACUUCCAAAUUCACAUCCAGAUCCCGUGUCUCCAACCGGGUCUAUACGAGUCCGAAUGGACCGGCGGGCGUAACGCACUGAGGAGCCUUGUUGUUCCGAGGGUUUGAGCCUUAUGGCCGGUUCCUACGGUUAUCUCCUGGUUCGGCUCCACUC